AGAAGGGGCCUGUAUCAAGCAAGAAAAUUUUGUAAAUAGAACAAUAGAAUUCAGUUGGUAUAAAAGUUUGGAGACAGAGAUGAGAUUGUACUGAAAGCUAGGUAUAUAGAGCACAUUGUGCAAAGUAAAACACAAAAAUAUGAUGGAUCCAGUACAGGUUACUUUCACUUUGUAACCAUUUGGCAAGACAACUAAGAAAGGCA
rnacentral:lncRNA from 1 species